CAAUCCUGUGCUAAUCCCUGUUUCGAUUGCCGAGGAUAUCAAUCUAUUUAAGCGAAAUUAAGUGCCAAGCAUCUCGUGAUUUUUUCGCGUGUAGGUGGGCGCUGUUGGUGCUGGUGUUGGCCGGCUAAUGCGUUAUGUUACGUUGCUGCACCGCCAGAUUGCCAGGCGGCCAGGCCAGCCAGCCAGCCGAUCGAUCUCGUUAGCCUUGAUCAAUGGCCCGGAAAAACAGAAUAAAGCUAAAUAAAAGCCAGCGAAAUUGAAAUUGUUGACCGUUCGCAUAAUGCAGUGUUAGUCUGGAGUCGCAGAGCGAGUCGCAUGUGUGUGUUCUCGGGCUUGUAGCUGUGGGAGUGCCUCCGCCCACACCUCGGGCGACUAGGUGGGUGACCCAAAGAAAGUACGGGCUACUCGAGGAUUAAUGUAUUCCAUUCAAUGUAUUCGUUUUCUUCGACAAUAAAUUCAUGAUAACAGAUGAUUCUUUUUCAAAUUUGCUUACCAAUAAACAAUUAAAUAAGUAAGCUAAAAGCAAAUAA